CCCUUAGAUGUUCUGGGCUGCACGCGCGCUACACUGAUACUUUCAGCGAGUCCACCACCUUGCCUGGGAGGGUGGAGUAACCUCUGGAAAGUGCAUCGUGAUGGGGAUCGAUUAUUGUAAUUAUUAAUCUUCAACGAGGAAUUCCUAGUAAGCGCGAGUCAUCAGCUCGCGCUGAUUACGUCCCUGCCCUUUGUACACACCGCCCGUCGCUACUACCGAUUGAAUGGUUUAGUGAGGCCUUCUGACUGGCGCCGCUACUCUGGCAACAGAGCGGCGGAUGCCGGGAAGUUGGUCAAACUUGAUCAUUUAGAGGAAGUAAAAGUCGUAACA
rnacentral:rRNA from 1 species